CAUGCCGCGUGUGUGAAGAAGGCCUUCGGGUUGUAAAGCACUUUCAGUGGUGAGGAAGGGGAGUUGGUUAAUACCCAGCUUCAUUGACGUUAGCCACAGAAGAAGCACCGGCUAACUCCGUGCCAGCACCUGCGGUGACUGAGCGGGCUGGCAAGGCGCAUA
rnacentral:rRNA from 1 species